CAGAGAAUUGCCACGCGCAGGUGAGUAACUGCCACAGUCCUUGCGCUGAAGGCUCUCAAAUAUCAUCGGCAACGUUUGAAGAAGAGAUUAGACAACCAUUUGUCUGAAAUGGUUUAGGCUUUCCUGCCAGAACAGGGGGAUGGACUAGACGACCUCCAAGGCCCCUUCCAACUCUAGUAUUGUGUUUUAUUAUUCCGUCCUUCUUUCUAUGAUCCCUUCAAGCCCAAAGGGAGUCUGGAACGUUAGAGGAUCUCCUGCCACUUGCAGGAGGGGAUGGACUAGAAGACCCCCGAGGUCUCUUCCAACCCUAGGAUUCUAGGUUCUGUGAUCCCCAGGUGAGGUCUUACAUAUCCAAGUCGUCUACCGGUGUCCCACUACCUCCUGGACCGCAGUAGCAACCGUAGUUCAUAUAAUCCAAAGAAGGUCGACUGCCAUGGUUGGCACAUUGAAUCAUGUUGCCGAAUUGUGCAAGGUUGAGAGGCAGCGGAGGAAUGCUGGCGGCUCCUAAGAGGGAGACACAAACUG